rnacentral:rRNA from 1 species
CCUACGGGUGGCCGCAGUGGGGAAUAUUGGACAAUGGGGGGAACCCUGAUCCAGCGACGCCGCGUGAGUGACGAAGUAUUUCGGUAUGUAAAGCUCUAUCAGCCGGGAAGAAAAUGACGGUCCCUGACUAAGAAGCCCCGGCUAACUACGUGCCAGCCGCCGCGGUACUACGGAGGGGGCAAGCUUUCUCCGGAUUUACUGGGUGUAAAGGGCGCGUAGACGGUGCAGCAAGUCUGAUGUGAAAGGUCGGGGCCCAACCCCGGGACGGCAUUGGAAACUGUGGAACUGGAGUACAGGAGUGGUAAGCGGAAUUGCUAGUGUAGCGGGGAAAUGCGUAGAUAUUAGGAGGAACACCAGUGGCGAAGGCGGCUUACUGGACUGGAACUGACGUUGAGGCUCGAAAGCGUGGGGAGCAAACAGGAAUAGAUACCCCUGUAGUC